CCGAGAGCCCCCUUCCUCUGCGGCCAUGACUCCGCCGCCGCCGCCGCCCCCUCCCCCGGGCCCUGACCCCGCGGCCGACCCCGCCGCGGACCCCUGCCCCUGGCCCGGAUCACUGGUCGUCCUCUUCGGGGCUACGGCGGGUGCGCUGGGACGGGACCUGGGCUCGGACGAGACCGACUUAAUCCUCCUAGUUUGGCAAGUGGUUGAGCCGCGGAGCCGCCAGGUGGGGACGCUGCACAAAUCGCUGGUUCGUGCCGAGGCGGCCGCACUGAGUACGCAGUGCCGCGAGGCGAGCGGCCUGAGCGCCGACAGCCUGGCGCGGGCAGAGCCGCUGGACAAGGUGCUGCAGCAGUUCUCACAGCUGGUGAACGGGGAUGUGGCUUUGCUGGGCGGGGGCCCCUACAUGCUCUGCACUGAUGGGCAGCAGCUAUUGCGACAGGUCCUGCACCCCGAGGCCUCCAGGAAGAACCUGGUGCUCCCCGACAUGUUCUUCUCCUUCUAUGACCUCCGAAGAGAAUUCCAUAUGCAGCAUCCAAGCACCUGCCCUGCCAGGGACCUCACUGUGGCCACCAUGGCACAGGAUUUAGGACUGGAGACAGAUGCCACAGAGGAUGACUUUGGGGUCUGGGAAGUCAAGACAAUGGUAGCUGUUAUCCUCCAUCUACUCAAAGAGCCCAGCAGUCAAUUGUUUUCGAAGCCCGAGGUGAUAAAGCAGAAAUACGAGACGGGGCCUUGGUGAGUGUGGGAGCAGGGGCUGGGGGUGACAACAGCUGAAUAGCUCUGACAGCACUGUGCCCUGCCCCUACAGCAGCAAGGCUGAUGUGGUGGACAGUGAGACUGUGGUACGGGCUCGUGGGUUGCCGUGGCAGUCAUCAGACCAGGACGUGGCUCGCUUCUUCAAAGGGCUCAACGUGGCCAGGUGUAUAAAGCAACAGGGGAGGAGUUUGUAAAGAUUGCAGGGGGCACAUCACUAGAGGUGGCUCGUUUCUUGUCACGGGAAGACCAAGUGAUCCUGCGGCUGCGGGGACUGCCCUUCUCGGCUGGGCCAACGGACGUGCUUGGCUUCCUGGGGCCAGAGUGCCCAGUGACUGGGGGUGCCGAGGGGCUGCUCUUUGUGCGCCAUCCUGAUGGCCGGCCGACUGGUGAUGCCUUCGCCCUCUUUGCUUGUGAGGAGCUGGCACAGGCUGCACUGCGCAGGCACAAGGGCAUGCUGGGUAAGCGAUACAUUGAACUCUUCCGGAGCACUGCAGCAGAAGUGCAGCAGGUCUUGAACCGCUAUGCAUCCGGCCCACUCCUUCCUACACUGACUGCCCCACUGCUGCCCAUCCCCUUCCCACUGGCACCUGGGACUGGGAGGGACUGUGUACGCCUCCGAGGCCUGCCCUACACGGCCACCAUUGAAGACAUCCUGAGCUUUCUGGGGGAGGCAGCAGCUGACAUUCGGCCCCACGGUGUACACAUGGUGCUCAACCAGCAGGGCCGGCCAUCGGGCGAUGCCUUCAUUCAGAUGACAUCAGCAGAGCGAGCCCUAGCUGCUGCUCAGCGUUGCCAUAAGAAGGUGAUGAAGGAGCGCUACGUGGAGGUGGUCCCCUGUUCCACAGAGGAGAUGAGCCGUGUGCUGAUGGGGGGCACCUUGGGCCGCAGUGGCAUGUCCCCUCCACCCUGCAAGCUGCCCUGCCUCUCACCACCUACCUACACCACCUUCCAAGCCACCCCAACGCUCAUUCCCACGGAGACGGCAGCUCUAUACCCCUCUUCAGCACUGCUCCCAGCUGCCAGGGUGCCUGCUGCCCCCACCCCUGUUGCCUACUAUCCAGGGCCAGCCACUCAACUCUACCUGAACUACACAGCCUACUACCCAAGCCCCCCAGUCUCCCCCACCACUGUGGGCUACCUCACUACACCCACUGCUGCCCUGGCCUCUGCUCCCACCUCAGUGUUGUCCCAGUCAGGAGCCUUGGUCCGCAUGCAGGGUGUCCCAUACACGGCUGGUAUGAAGGAUCUGCUCAGCGUCUUCCAGGCCUACCAGGUGAGAUUGUGUGGCCGGAGGGCCUGGCAGGUCUGGCUGAGCUCUCUGCCCUAAAUCUGUGUCCCUUCUGUAGCUACCCGCUGAUGACUACACCAGUCUGAUGCCUGUUGGUGACCCACCUCGCACUGUGUUACAAGCCCCCAAGGAAUGGGUGUGUUUGUAGGAGAGAAAGCCAGGAGGUAAGAGCCAGCUGAUAUCCUCGGCGAACAUGUCUCUCCUGAGUCCAGAAGACCAGCACCCUCAACCUGGUAGCUUCUUUCUGGCUUGUCAAAGCUCUCAGAAGGUACCUAGAGGAGCCCAAGCCCCAGCUCCAUCCUCCACUUAUUCUGCCUGUUUCCCCCAAAGACAAUGGCUGGACCCUGCAUGCAGGGCUGGGGGUGGAAUGGGGCUAACCAGCUCCUGAUGGCCUGAGCCAGGCAUCUUGACUGGCACCUGAAGAGCCCUUAAGUCUGUCCUGGCUGUGGCCCAUGCCGACAGAUAUCGUGGGGCUGACAGGUCCACGGCAGGCUUGCUUUCUUUUAUAAAAUGAAAGCUCUGGUACCUUCAAUGUAUGACUCCUGGGAGAAUCAAGGGUCCAUCUGAGCCUCUGAGUAAAGAUCCCAAUGUUCUACCUCUCCCUGUCCCUCUUGUAGGGGAUAGGGAGGCAGAGAGAGCCAGCCCCUACUCUCAGAGUAUCUGGACCUCAGAGACCAUGUUGUGCCAGGGGUGGUCCCACCUAAAGAUGCUAGCCCCUCUCCAGGUGGGCAUAAGGAGUAACAGAUGGCAAAACCACAAACUAUUUUGAUGGACUGUGCUGCAGUAUCACCAGAAGACAUUAGGGGGCAGUAGGCCCCCACACAAAACCUUCAGGCUUGAAUUUUAAAGGGGAGGACUUUCUGCCAACUUUUCUUGUAUGCCUUGGGAAAGCCAGUUGCCCUGAACCCAGCAGACACCAUGGAAUGUCCUUUGCACGCAUUAAAUGGUACAGAACUGAAGCCUCGGAAGCAAUUUGGAACUCGAUCUUCUCUUCCUUAAAUGAAAAGUUAUUGACCAAAUGGACUUUUUAAAAGACACAGGACCCUUAACUUUGCCCCAAAGUGAGGGGCUCCACACCAACCCCAGGCGGAGGAACACUCAGACAGAUUAAGGAUACUGUUGACCUGUCACUGUUUAUUAUUUCAGCACUAAAACUGAGGAGCCUCAACUGCUGGCUCUUCUUCCCUUUGUAUUUGUGUAAGGAGCACUGCACUCCCAUAAAAGGUUUUAAAAUACAAAAUGUACAAGAACACACAA
rnacentral:sRNA from 1 species